CCUACGGGAGGCAGCAGUGAGGAAUAUUGGUCAAUGGACGAGAGUCUGAACCAGCCAAGUAGCGUGAAGGAUGACUGCCCUAUGGGUUGUAAACUUCUUUUAUAUGGGAAUAAAAUGUUCCACGUGUGGGAUUUUGUAUGUACCAUAUGAAUAAGGAUCGGCUAACUCCGUGCCAGCAGCCGCGGUAAUACGGAGGAUCCGAGCGUUAUCCGGAUUUAUUGGGUGUAAAGGGAGCGUAGGUGGAUUGUUAAGUCAGUUGUGAAAGUUUGCGGCUCAACCGUAAAAUUGCAGUUGAAACUGGCAGUCUUGAGUACAGUAGAGGUGGGCGGAAGUCGUGGUGUAGCGGUGAAAUGCUUAGAUAUCACGAAGAACUCCGAUUGCGAAGGCAGUUCACUGGACUGCAACUGACACUGAGGCUCGAAAGUGUGGGUAUCAAACAGGAUUAGAUACCCUUGUAGUC
rnacentral:rRNA from 1 species